rnacentral:rRNA from 1 species
UACGUAGGGUGCGUGCGUUAAUCGGAAUUACUGGGCGUAAAGCGUGCGCAGGCGGUCCUCCAAGUCCGUUGUGAAAUCCCCGGGCUCAACCUGGGAAUUGCAUCUGUGACUGCAUCGCUAGAGUACGGUAGAGGGGGAUGGAAUUCCGCGUGUAGCAGUGAAAUGCGUAGAUAUGCGGAGGAACACCGAUGGCGAAGGCAAUCCCCUGGACCUGUACUGACGCUCAUGCACGAAAGCGUGGGGAGCAAACAGG